GAUUACUCUUUCAUUUCAGCGAGUUACUUGACUACGUGAGUUUGUUUGUAAUGGCAAUCGUAAGCAAAAAAACCUUUCAAAUCAACCUCUUCUAACCACGUUAGAACAUCGUUUGCUACAUAAAGCUCGAUAUGUGCCAGUGAAAGUAUGUCAAGAUAAAUCGAUGGAGAAAGUAGCUUUGCUGAUGAACAAGAAAUCAACUUUUCCGAUGAAGUGGAGUUCAGUGUCGUCGAGGAUCACGUGUCCGGAAGGCUGAAUGCGGUUUGUGUUAGAAUCUUACCACGGGAAACAUAACUCUCCAGGCGGUGGAAAUGAUGGAGCUUUUACUGAUGCAGUUGAUCUCCUGAUUGGUUUUUAUUCUUGUCGUAUUGGCUGUUCGUUAGGAUCAAUAUAAACUCUUGUACACGAACGUGCAGUAAAAUGCGUGUUGAAGUUAUUCGACGACUACUGACAACAUUUGAUGAGUGA